GUCCAUCCCAUCCACUGUGUGUGUGUGUGUGUGUGUCAGCAAAUGCAAAUUUGUUCAAAGUUUAUUGAGUGCACGUGACGACAAACAAAAGUGCAAAGUUGCCUUUGUCCUUUGUCCUGGCAUCCUUGGGCCCCAUGGCCCGACAACUGCAACUACAGGCAUUUUCUUGUAUUUCACUUUUGUUUUCUCCUUUCCAGCCUGCCCAUAGUGCCCAGCGCUUUUUUCUUUCUCUCCUGUCCUUUUCUUUUUUCUUUUCAUAUCCGUUACAUGCAUUGUUUCAUAUACAUAUUUCUACCUCUUCCUUUUCAGUAUUUUGCGCUCAAAGGUUAAACCUCUUUUGACUUGCAAAUUUGCAGUUUGCAUGUUUUCAUUUUUCAAUUUUUUAUUAUUUUAACUCUUUUUUUUCAUAAUUCUUCGUGUAAA